UCCCUGCUUUUCCUCCCUGAGCAGGAGCCUUAACGUGAUGACAGCGAUAAGGCUUUCUCGGCCCCGGUCUCGACCGGGGCCUUUUUUAU
rnacentral:ncRNA from 1 species